GUGAGGAAUUUUCCGCAAUGGGCGAAAGCCUGACGGAGCAAUGCCGCGUGAAGGAUGAAGGCCUAUGGGUUGUAAACUUCUUUUCUCAGAAAAGAAUUAUGACGGUAUCUGAGGAAUAAGCAUCGGCUAACUCUGUGCCAGCAGCCGCGGUAAGACAGAGGAUGCAAGCGUUAUCCGGAAUGAUUGGGCGUAAAGCGUCUGUAGGUUGUUUAAAAAGUAUUCUGUCAAAGAUUAGGGCUUAACCCUAGAUAGGCAGAAUAAACUUUUAAGCUAGAGUUUGGUAGAGGCAGAGGGAAUUCCCGGUGGAGCGGUGAAAUGCGUAGAUAUCGGGAGGAACACCAGAGGCGAAGGCACUCUGCUGGGCCAAUACUAACACUGAGAGACGAAAGCGAGGGGAGCAAAUGGGAUUAGAAACCCGGGUAGUCC
rnacentral:rRNA from 1 species